CGGAAGUAAAAUUGGAGGAAGGUUUGUUUUGAAUUUGCAAUAUGCUCGCUCCUUACGUGGAUUUUAGACGCAGUUAACGGAAUACCUAAGUCUCAGUCCACUGAAAAUGGCAAAAUUACAGUCUUUGAGUGUGUUUGUUAAUACGCGUUUAACAGUGGCUACCGUAGAGAUUAUGGGGGCAGUAGAGAAAGUGGUAGCGGAGUACCAGGAGGAGAUUUCCCGAUCUAAAGUGGAGAAUGACCGGCUACGCAGACUGCUGCGGAUCAGACCGGAGAUGAAACGAUGUAGAUUAGACUCCCUCCAGUUCUCGCUUACCGUCUCUGAGGAGGAGGUUAACCCUGUGCAGCAGCAAUGUGACCAGGAGGAAUGGAACUCCAGUCUGGGGACGGAUGACACCGAGCCCAUGCAGAUUAAAGAGGAAAAUGCGGAAGUCGGGACCACUCAGGUGGCAGGGCAGCUUCAAGGGCUGGAGCCUGACAUUGUAGAGUUCAUGUUCACUCCUUCCUGUGUGAAAAGUGAUUGUGAUCAGGACGACCUACUUCAGUCCUUGACUCUUUCCCAAACCACGACUGUGGAGAACAGAGAGAGUGACUCUAAAAAAUUGGAUCUCAAACCUUUUGGCACAGUGACCCACCUCGACAAUCCUUAUGACCCUCGAGAUAAUCAAGACAAUGUCUCCAGCCACAGCUCAGCUGCAAGCAGUGAUCUAGUAGGAUUUGACAUAAGCCCACCAUUGGAUCCCAACCCACCAUUGAGGAAACCCAGCACCACAUCUAAAACACAUGACUGUGGGAAAAUAUUAAAUUGCAAGGAGAGCCUGAACAGGCAUAUGCAGACCUCCACAGGAGAAAAAUCAUUUAGCUGUAAUAACUGCAGGAAAAGCUUCAGUCGCAAGGAUACCCUUAACAUGCAUAUACGGACUCACACAGGAGAGAAACCUUUUGUCUGUGGUGAUUGCGGGAAAAGCUUCAGACAGAAGGCUACCCUUAACAGGCAUAUACGGACUCACACAGGAGAAAAACCAUUUAGCUGUGGUGUCUGCGGGAAAAGCUUCAACCAUAAGGGAAACCUAACUGUUCAUUUACUGACUCACACAGGAGAGACACCUUUUACCUGUGGGGACUGCGGGAAAAGCUUCAGACAGAAAUAUAGCCUUAAAAAGCAUACAUCGACUCACAUAGGAGAGACAUUUAACUGUGCUCACUGCGGGAUAAGCUUCAGACACAAAGUGAACCUGGAUAGUCAUAUACUUGCCCUCCACAAAUAAACAAAACAGAAUGAAAACAAAAAGAAGAAAAUGUAACAAAGAUCUGGCAGGAGUUGGUAAUACAAAUGCAGGAUAUGGACAUCACUGUUAGGAAAGCAAAUAAAUUCUAGAUCACUCAUGUUUUAGGUUUAAGGUAUUUACUUUUGUAAAAUGUUCUAUGUAAAUAAAAUGUUAUUCGAAUUACGAUAUUAUGAUCAAACAGUUAAAAAGGGCAAUGGAAACACUUUAGGAAGUAAAUAUAAGCAAAGAUAUGUAAUCAAUCAACUAAUAUCUUGCAAUAAUUUAACAUAAAAACAUCUCUGUAUUUAGUAUUUUGAUCUUCGAGGUUAAUUUGAGCUAUGGUCGGCGCCAUUUUUAAUUGCCAAGUAACGACUGACGCCAGUGCGUCACUGGCAGGAAUCAGUAAAUUGUCUGGUAUUGAAUUUUCGCGCGGAGAGUGAAUCGAAGAGUACAAGGACAUGAUGACAACAACAAUUAGUAAUUCAGACACUGUAUAGCGCCAGGCUGUACGAAUUGGCUCCAAUAAAUAAAAAAAUAUCGGGUAGGUACCAUCGGCUGUCCAAGGACCUUUUGAACACGUGGCUCCAUGUCCUAAAGAAAGGAAGGACGUGCCAGCUCGAGCUAGCAAGGUCUGCAGGCAGCACUUCGCCGAGAAGGACUUUGCUACGAAGGGCACGUUCGAUGCGGCAACCGGGAGUUUCAGAAUGUAAAGGAGUCCUAAACCUACGUCGAAGCCCUCUACUUGCCCCUCCAGCUUAAAUUUCGAGGGUUAUGGUGUACAGUAGGGGUUACCGACCGACCAUCAUCAACAUCGCUGACUUCGGAGUCAAGCCAAACGUCGGACUGAGGCGACGAUGGACCUACUCCAUGGGCAGCUGCAGAUCUGGGGGACAACGAGAGGAAGCAGAAGUUUUUGAGGUUGAUGGGCGCAGGGAAG